UACGUAGGGGGCAAGCGUUGUCCGGAUUUAUUGGGCGUAAAGAGCGUGUAGGCGGCCAAGCAGGUCCGCUGUGAAAACUCGAGGCUCAACCUCGAGACGUCGGUGGAAACCGUUUGGCUAGAGUCCGGAAGAGGAGAGUGGAAUUCCUGGUGUAGCGGUGAAAUGCGCAGAUAUCGGGAAGAACACCCGUGGCGAAAGCGGCUCUCUGGAACGGUACUGACGCUGAGACGCGAAAGCGUGGGGAGCGAACAGG
rnacentral:rRNA from 1 species